UUCCGGUUGAUCCUGCCGGACCUGACUGCUAUCGGAUUGAUACUAAGCCAUGCGAGUCAUUGUAGCAAUACAAGGCAGACGGCUCAGUAACGCGUAGUCAACCUACCCUAUGGACGGGAAUAACCUCGGGAAACUGAGUAUAAUGCCCGAUAGAACACUAUACCUGGAAUGGUUUGUGUUUCAAAUGAUUUAUUGCCGUAGGAUGGGACUGCGGCCUAUCAGUUUGUUGGUGAGGUAAUGGCCCACCAAGACUAUUACAGGUACGGGCUCUGAGAGGAGUGGCCCGGAGAUGGGUACUGAGACACGGACCCAGGCCCUAUGGGGCGCAGCAGGCGAGAAAACUUUGCAAUGUGCGAAAGCACGACAAGGUUAAUCCGAGUGGUUUCUGCUAAAGGAACCUUUUGACAGUCCUAGAAACACUGUUGAAUAAGGGGUGGGCAAGUUCUGGUGUCAGCCGCCGCGGUAAAACCGGCACCUCAAGUGGUCAGGAGGAUUAUUGGGCCUAAAGCAUCCGUAGCCUGCUCUGUAAGUUUCCGGUUAAAUCCAUUAGCUCAACUAAUGGCCUGCCGGAAAUACUGCAGAGCUAGGAAGUGGGAGAGGUAGACGGUACUCGGUAGGAAGGGGUAAAAUCCUUUGAUCUAUUGAUGACCACCUGUGGCGAAGGCGGUCUACCAGAACACGUUCGACGGUGAGGGAUGAAAGCUGGGGGAGCAAACCGGAUUAGAUACCCGGGUAGUCCCAGCUGUAAACGAUGCAAACUCGGUGAUGCGCUGGCUUGUGGCCAGUGCAGUGCCGCAGGGAAGCCGUUAAGUUUGCCGCCUGGGAAGUACGUACGCAAGUAUGAAACUUAAAGGAAUUGGCGGGGGAGCACCACAAGGGGUGAAGCCUGCGGUUCAAUUGGAGUCAACGCCGGG
rnacentral:rRNA from 1 species